GACGAACGCUGGCGGCGUGCCUAAUACACGCAAGUCGAGCGAUGAUUAAAGAUAGCUUGCUAUUUUUAUGAAGAGCGGCGAACGGGUGAGUAACGCGUGGGAAAUCUGCCGAGUAGCGGGGGACAACGUUUGGAAACGAACGCUAAUACCGCAUAACAAUGAGAAUCGCAUGAUUCUUAUUUAAAAGAAGCAAUUGCUGCACUACUUGAUGAUCCCGGGUUGUAUUAGCUAGUUGGUAGUGUAAAGGACUACCAAGGCGAUGAUACAUAGCCGACCUGAGAGGGUGAUCGGCCACACUGGGACUGAGACACGGCCCAGACUCCUACGGGAGGCAGCAGUAGGGAAUCUUCGGCAAUGGGGGCAACCCUGACCGAGCAACGCCGCGUGAGUGAAGAAGGUUUUCGGAUCGUAAAACUCUGUUGUUAGAGAAGAACGUUAAGUAGAGUGGAAAAUUACUUAAGUGACGGUAUCUAACCAGAAAGGGACGGCUAACUACGUGCCAGCCGCCGCAGUAA
rnacentral:rRNA from 1 species